rnacentral:rRNA from 1 species
GACAAGAAAUAACAAUACGGGGCUUAAAGUCUUGUAAUUGGAAUGAUGGGAAUUUAAACCUCUUCCAGAGUAUCAAUUGGAGGGCAAGUCUGGUGCCAGCAGCCGCGGUAAUUCCAGCUCCAAUAGCGUAUAUUAAAAUUGUUGCAGUUAAAAAGCUCGUAGUUGAAUUUCUGCUGCAUUGCGUGUGUCCCUCUGGGGUCUGUGCAUGUGGCUUUUUUCGGACGGAGUUUCUUUGUCUGAAUGUUUACUUUGAGAAAAUUAGAGUGCUCAAAGCAGGCUUUCGCCUUGAAUAGUUUAGCAUGGAAUAAUAAAGUAGGACUUUGGUUCUAUUUUGUUGGUUUUAGGUACCAAAGUAAUGGUUAAUAGGAACAGUUGGGGGCAUUCGUAUUUAACUGUCAGAGGUGAAAUUCUUAG